rnacentral:lncRNA from 1 species
GAUCAACAUGAAACGUGCAACACGACAACAAAAGAAAGUGACAGAAAGCAAAAAUGAGGAUAAGAAUUCCAAAGUUGGAAUAAAGAAAACACCAACUUUCAAGUAUGAAAGAGGCAACACAUCAAAAGAUUCUGACGACCAAAAAGUAAACGCAUCAGAAAGUCUGUAUGCAAAGCAGAAGAAAGUGACAGAAAGCAAAAUUGAUGAAAAAAAUUCCAAAGUUGGAAAAAAGGAGACACAAAAUUCCAAGAAUGGAAGAAGCAACACGUCACAAGGUUCUGACCACCAAAAAGUAAAUGCGUUAAAAAAUCUGUCUGCAAAGCAGGUAAGAAUCGAAAUCUACUAUUAAUAAUUAUUUUGGAUUUUCCAAGUCUUCUAAAGUUUUAUUCAGAAAUAGGACUGUAAGUUUUUGUCUAUUAUAUUUAAAACAUGAAACUAAUGAGCUAACUGGAAACGAAAAUGCUUUGGUUCUUCUCUCAUAUUGUCAAAAAAGUGUACUGUCCAAAAUACAUGUGUUUAAAUGAGGAUUGGGAGUAGUGACAUCAAAAAGCAGUGCUUCUAUGUGUUUUUGGCUCUGUUUCAAAACAAUUUUACUCACUAUGUUCCGACAAUAUUGAAAAAGAAUAUAAUUCAAUUUUUUUUGUAAUCAAUAAAUGCCAAUAAUAUAGAGUACUACCCUCAGUACAUGCGUUUAAAUGAAGAUUUCGGGUAGUGACAUCAAAACUUGCUGUUUUUAUGCGUUUUUAUCUAAAUUUCAAAACAAUUUUAAACCACUAUUUUCCACCAGAAAAACAUACGCAAUAAAUAUGUGUUUUCUCUGUUGAAACAGUAGUUUUGAGACAUUUUAAACUCUUUUCUUUGGAAAUUAGAAAAAAUUCACUUAGAGAGAUCGUCCUCCAAUCUCUCAAUUAUACUUGGAUGGAAUUGAGACUCGUAUCAAGUGCAGAAAAGAUUUUUUUCUUUUUUUUACCACAGUGUUUUAUGUAUGAAGAGAAUAAAAUGUGUAUUACUUUACAGCAAUAUUUUUCUAAGACCCUUAAUAUUAUAUAGGUGUCUCAGGAAUUAUUGCGCCAAUAUAGAUUCCGUCCGUUAAAACAAAAUGAUUUUUUCCUAUCAAGUAAAACAUUGUAUGUCUUUUAUAAACUAUAUACGUUUUAAAACAUUUAUGUUUUGAUACUAACAUGCAUAUUUGGAUUUGUAGUCAUGUGCUUAAAAUAAACCAACAUUUUUACCAAUAUAUGUUUUGUGUAUAUUUUCAUCUAAUACAAAUGGAUUUUUUUAUUAUUACCAUAUUUUUAAUUAGGAAAUUUUUAAAAUAAAGGUGAUUGUUUCAAGUGUCGGGACGAGAAAAUGGAAUUCCAACCAAAUAUUUUUACACUUUAUUUCCUCUAGUUAAGACUACAAAAAUUUACUACGUACAUUCUCAGAUUAUCCAAUUAUUUACAGAUAACCAAAAUGCCCACCAUGACCCCAUGGUCGACUCUUCCAGCACGUACGUGGUGGAGCUAACAGCUUGUUUCAUCCUUGUUUUUCCACUGUAAAACUCAAAGGUGAGUUUCGCACACUGAUCCGAACGUUCAUACGGCGUUUUUCCUAAGCACGGCAGAAUACGUAAGUACCUCCGCCUUUAAAAUGUCGAAAUGCGAGCCGGUCGCCGAAGCCGGCGAAAACGAGGUUAUACCCGCGAAUGAUAUUCUGUCACGUUCCGCGCUCGGCUGGCACAAUAUUUACUUGGGCUCACAUGCAAGCCGACGCGCAGAAACCGCCCAUCCUGCGCGGAAACCGAAUCAGAG